AUGGACUCUCGAGCGCUCGCUCGCAACUUCACCUACCCCAUCCAGCCGCGGAGCCUCCACCGCCCGCGCCACCUGGCGACCGUUCCGGCGGUUCCCCGGCAUAUCCCCGCGCCGCGGCGGCUUCCUCCGCCUCUCUCUAGUCACCGCCGCCCCUCGCGCGCGGCGGUCCUCCAACGAACAGCGUGCGGCUGCUUGCUACCGCUCGGCGCCCGCAAGAUGAGUUCGUCGUAUGAUUCUUCCGAAGAAGAAUUUGAUAUGGAAGAGGAGGAGGACCUUGCAAUGAUCCUAGCUAUGCACAUCAAUAAAAAACCGAAUCACGGUGGUUCGGUUAUGGGUCCGCAGAAAAUUUGGAGGGAUAGAAUCGAUGCCCAUAACAGAUUGACGAGGCACUAUUUCGUGGAGAAUCCCACAUACCCAGAGUCGUACUUUCGUCGCCGGUUUAGGAUGAGCACCGAGUUGUUCAGACGCAUUGCAGAGAAACUAGUGAGCCAUGACCGGUUUUUUCAGCAAAGGAGGAAUGCCGCCGGAGAACUCGGACAUAGCACCUUUCAGAAGGUGACAGCCGCUUUGCGUAUGUUGGCAUACGGUAUCCCGACUGAUCAAGUUGAUGAUCACUUGGCUAUGGGUGAGAGCCAAGCCAUCAUGUGUGUCAAGCGCUUCGCAGUCGGAAUUAUCCAAGUGUUUGGCCAGGAGCAUUUGAGAUCUCCCAAUGCUGAAGAUGCCGCAAGGGUAUUGGAAAUGAACAAAGCUCGCGGCUUCCCAGGUAUGCUUGGCUCAAUAGAUUGCAUGCAUUGGAGUUGGAAGAAUUGUUCAAAGGCAUGGCAUGGGCAAUUCCACAGCCAAAAAAAGGGUUACACUAUAAUCCUUGAAGCGGUGGCCGAUCAAGAGACUUGGAUUUGGCAUGCUUUCUUUGGAAUGCCUGGAUCUUUGAAUGACAUCAACGUUGUCAACCGGUCACCACUGAUGAAUAAGAUUGCAAAUGGUGAUUUGCCACCGGUGCAGUUUGUAGCAAAUGGUCGUACAUACACCUAUGGCUAUUAUCCCGCGGAUGACAUCUACCCGAAGUGGCAAACAUUUGUGAAGCCGUUGAAAAAACCGGAAGGUAAGAAAAAUUUGGAUUUCCACAAUGCUCAGGUGGCGGCUAGAAAAGAUGUGGAGAGAGCUUUUGGGAUUUUGCAAGCCCAAUUUGCUAUAGUGAGAGGACCGGCUAGAUUUUGGGAUCAAAAUAUGUUUUGGUACAUCAUGCAUGCUUGUGUGAUCAUGCACAACAUGAUCAUCGAGAAUGAGCGUGGCCAAGAUGUAAACUACUCUCAGUAUGAGCUCUUGGGACAUCCCGUGCGAGUGCGACGGAGGGCUGAAAGGGUGGACCAUUUUGUUGUCUCCUAUCAUGCCAUUCGACGUCCCGCAGCGCAUGAUGAUCUUCAGAAGGAUCUCAUUGAGGAGUGGUGGGCAUGGAAUGGGCAACAAAGAGCAUCAUGA
rnacentral:rRNA from 1 species